UUUAAAAAUGGGUCAAAACGCACAGGAAGAAAGUCACACAAACAAAAAAUUUGGGAGAGGCAGUUGCCCGCAUAUAUAAUAUGCAAAGUGGUCGGGUUUAUGGGCAGAUAAUUAGCACAAGCAAUUUUAACUUAAUUGCUGUUAUUUAAAAUCACACACCAAUUCGCGCAAGACACACUCUUCGCGCACACACACAACUCCGAUUCCGCUCGACUUGUACUUAUUAUUGGCGGGGGCGGACACGAAAAAUAUAAUUAUUUGCCAGAGCUGCGACGUACUGCUGGCUGCCGGGGCUCAAGAACGACUCCAAGAGCGAUGCCUCGAGCGAUGCCAAUAUUGCUACAGGCAAUUACUCGAGGGGAUCGGCUCCAGAUUCGUCUCCCCCGGCAUACCCGCCGUACGUGUGUCUGUCGAUCGGUCGGUCAGGGUAAUUGGGGAGAGUACAAGUGAGAGUCAGUUUUCAGUUGUGUGCAGUGCCUAAAAGAAUGCUACGAAUUAGUGUGACUUUGUCAAAAAUAUACUUGUGCUUUGGCUAACGCCCAGGAAUUGAAAUGGUCAAGUAGGGGGGACUUUGCAUACAUAAAGAAAUUUAUACAUUUACAUCUAGAAACCCUAAGGCAGUCAACAUAAACAUACAUUUUGUUAUUGACGAUAUUGCGGCACGUGUGUCCUUCGACCCCUUUCUUACCCUUGCCACCUGCUGAAGGCAGGUGACUAGGAAUGCAGCGUAGGUGCAUGUGGGUCGGGCAAUAUAUGAGGGGACGGUACUGGCAUAUGUAACGACACGGAAACAUAUUUGGCACUAAUACGGGACAAAAAUAAUAAUGAAAAAUUCACACAUAUUAGGCCGUGGCGGCUGGCGACGAAUUUGCCUGCCAGAGUCCGAAAUUAAUAUUUUCCAGACAAUGGCAGGCAAAUUGCCGCGCAAUACAAAUUUGCCGAAACAUUUGCUGGCAGUUUUUAAUGGCAAGUGUGAAUAUGAAUAUUCACACUUGAGUUGUUUCGUCAGUUGACGGAGAAAUUUAGGGGCCUUUUUUGGGUUAUUAGCAGGGUAUAUUGUGUGGUAAGGUGGGGAACUGUCAAAAGUGACAAUCAAAUACAAGCCGUGUUUCGCGCAGCGUAAA
rnacentral:lncRNA from 1 species